AUUGAACGCUGGCGGCAUGCUUUACACAUGCAAGUCGAACGGUAACAGGCCGCAAGGUGCUGACGAGUGGCGAACGGGUGAGUAAUGCAUCGGAACGUGCCCAGUCGUGGGGGAUAACGCAGCGAAAGCUGCGCUAAUACCGCAUACGAUCUAUGGAUGAAAGCGGGGGACCGAAAGGCCUCGCGCGAUUGGAGCGGCCGAUGUCAGAUUAGGUAGUUGGUGGGGUAAAGGCUCACCAAGCCAACGAUCUGUAGCUGGUCUGAGAGGACGACCAGCCACACUGGGACUGAGACACGGCCCAGAAUCCUACGGGAGGCAGCAGUGGGGAAUUUUGGAAAAUGGGCGCAAGCCUGAUCCAGCAAUGCCGCGUGCAGGAAGAAGGCCUUCGGGUUGUAAACUGCUUUUGUACGGAACGAAACGGUCCGGGUUAAUACCCUGGGCUAAUGACGGUACCGUAAGAAUAAGCACCGGCUAACUACGUGCCAGCCGCCGUCGUAACAC
rnacentral:rRNA from 1 species